UUGGACUGGCCGUCAGGGAUUCUCCUGUCUUUAGUCAUGUCCAUAGAGCAGUUUUUCGUGGAGGCUUCACUGUGGUCUUGGAGGUCUUCAAUGUGGGUUCCUGCCGUCUGUCCAAGAAGUAGCAGUUGCCUCUACAUGGCUACAGGGAAGCCAGGUCCCAUGUGCAGCUUCUGGUGGGUCAGGCAUUAUGAGGUCAGUACUCUUACUUCCUAAAAUAUUGGAAAACAUAGUUUAUGUUGGACUGAUUCACAAUACCUGAACAAAUUAGAAGUAAGAGCGGAUCAGUGGGCAGAGGCCACUUGUAUGAGGCUCAACGAGAUUCAGU
rnacentral:lncRNA from 1 species